GCGACGUCACUCCGUGGGGCAGUCCACCCGCCGGGGGAGCUCCUGCUCGUCCGUACUGUCUCGUCAUCAGGAGGGCAAAGAAGGAAAGGGAGAGUGACGGUUUGCUGUGGCUGCUAUUAAGCAAAGAAACCAGAAAAAGAGAGAGACGCCUUUAACGGGCGACAGCAGACACGCCACGGAGAAACGCCGUCACCGAGCUAAGGAAACGGGGCUCUCUUGGAGCACCCUGGCCUUUUCCCAAGCCCCGCCCCCUGUCUGGGCGGGGCUGCAAGAGACUUGAGCCGGAAGGGACGGAGCGGUAAACACUGAGUCUGCGCGCUCAUCUCGCGACAGCAGUAGAGGGCGGAAGUGCAGUCUGUCCAGGAUGAGGUUCCUGGUUGCGUUUGUCUUGCUGAGCGUCGCAGCGGAGGACUCCGUGCCGUCAAGUUCUGUGCCAGCCUCCACAAUACCCACUCUGAGGGUAAGUCAGUCUACUGGAGACUCCAAGCUCGUAACCGCAGAACUGCCUUCUCAGUCAGACAAAGUAGACAGAUCCAUUCCGAAACAAAACACCGGGGAAGUCAGCCCUGACAAGUCGAAACUGGAGCCAAACACCACGAAUGACAGCCCUCACAAAUCGAAAUCUCAAGAGCAUAUCACGAAUGUCGACCAUAACAACAACACAAAUGUUGACCCUGGCAAGUCGAAAACGGAGCCGCACUCCACGAAUGACAGCUCUGACAGAGCGACAUCUGAGGACCCUGCUGUGGAUGGCAACCCUGACAAGUUGGAACUGAAGCAGGACAUCACGAAUAAUGGCUCUGGCAAGGGGAAAUCUGAAGAGCAUACUGCCACAAUUGAGGACCCUAGCAAACUGGAACUGGAGCAGCUUUCUUCCAAAGACCACUCCGGCAAUCCAAUCUCCAACCCCUCUUCUGAUAACAAGGAGCCUGCUGUAAAUCCAUCAGCUGACAAAGCUCUGCAGUCUCCUAGAACUAAACCUGUGGAAAAAGGAUUACUGGACUUGGACUCCUCUUCUCCCCAGCAGGAGGGAGAAGGUAAGUCUUUAGAGCCAGCUGAAGUUGUGGAGCCCAAGGAGACUGAAGAAGGGGAUACAGAGCCUGAAGAGGAUAUACCACCCAAAGAAGAGAAAGAAAUGCCUGGCCCUGCCUCCAGUGAGAACCGUGAAGGGGCACUUUCGAAACCCUUGGAUAAGGAGAAGGAUGACGUUUAUAAGGAUAAUCUUGGAAAUGCCAGUGCAGAGAGCAGCCACUUCUUUGCAUAUCUGGUGACGGCAGCCAUUCUCGUCGCUGUCCUCUAUAUUGCCUACCACAAUAAGCGGAAGAUUAUUGCUUUCGUCCUGGAAGGAAAAAGAUCCAAAGUCACACGGCGGCCAAAGGCCAGUGAUUACCAGCGUUUGGACCAGAAGAUUUGAAUUUUCUGUUCUUGAGAACCAUGUCCUCCCUGCUGAUUUGUUUCUAAGUCAAGAAAAAUGAAGAGAAAAAUACUGUGACCUAAGAGAGACCCCCUGCUCUCGGGUUUGGUGGCGAGUCUGGCAGAGGCAGGGGGGGAUUGCUUUGGUUUUUGCACCUGCACUUUGGUGACCUUGUCCUCCUGUGUUCCUGUUAUUUAUGCUGGUGUCUUCCAGCCUGUCCCCCUCUGAGUGUGAGUAGAGGAGCAUGUGGGUACCCAGCAGUGACCAAAGGAAGACCCCAGCCCUCAGCAGGUGCUCGCUGCUGACUGCCCUCUGUGGGACCUUGGCCUUGUGGUAAAGUUUUCCCUUGAAAACUCUUGCACUCGCCCCUGUUUACCUUCACAGACCUAGGCGACUACAGCAGGCUGAGGUGCGUCUCCCAGAGCCUCUCCCUUUGGGGGGAUGCGCCCCACAGAAGAUGGAGAAGGUGGGGAAUGCUGAUGGGUGAAGGGCUCCUUUGAGCACACGAUUCUCUUCAAAGGCUUUGACAGCAAACCAAAACAGCAGCGAGAAAACGUGCUUUAUCGCCGGCGAGCCCGGCCUGCCCAGCACAAGCUCUUCACAUUCUUCUGACAUUUUCAUGUCACCUAGGACUAAGCCACCCUACUUCCAUUUGGUCGGUCUGGGCAGAAAACCAUACUUGGGGAUUCUGGGAGGAAAGCCUUAAAGCUCCGGUUCCCAUCACAGGUUUUUUUUUUAAAUAGCAGUUAACCAUGAUUGAAACACUAUGUUCACCCUACUCACUAUUGUUAGGAGAACUUUUUGAAAUAGGGUGAGUUCAUGUUUUGGGCAAGAAAGCACGUGGUUCAGUUUGGCUUUGGUCAGCAGUUUUUCUCAAAGGGUUGUUAUGAAACAGGUUUCCUGCAAACUGUUUUGCCUUUGUUGCCUAAAAUUGACUUAUAUUUACAGACUGACUGUCCUCCCUCUUUUACCUAAAUCUAGUUAAUGGUCCUCUUAUCUGGUACAAAAUGCCAAGGCUGGAGUUCCCACUGUGGUGCAUUGGGUUAAUGAUCCAGCAUGUCUCUGCGGAAGUGCAGGUUUAUUCCCCAGCUCAGCCCAGCCCAGUGGGUGAAGGAUCUGGUAUUGCUGAAGCUGUGGUGUAGGUCGAAGCUCUAGCUCAGAUUAGAUACCUGGCCCUGGAACUUCCACAUGCCAUGGGAGUCGUUAAAAAAUAAAAAUAAAAUCCAAGGCUAAUUAGUAAAUAUCCUUCUUCUAUCCCACAUCUGGGGUUAUUAAAAUUUAAGGAAUUCAGAGCGUUCCCUGGGGUUUGGGCUGUUUCAAGCUUUAUUUAAACCUGUUCUAGUUGUGCCACCCUAUUAUAGAGAGCCUAAAGAGAGUUGUUUCUGCAAAGAAAAAACCAAAAUAGGAGUUCCCCAGUGGCCUAGCGGUUAAGGAUCCAGCAUUGUCACUGCUGUGGCUCAGGUCACUGCUGUGGUACAGGUUCAGUCCUUGCAUUGGGAACUUCAGCAGGCCACGGGCACAACCAGCAAAGGCUGAAGUAGAAUGUUUCAUCUCAGAGAAGUGCACAGAUUGUGCAAAGCGAGGAACAGGGUGAGUUCUGGGCUGUUGAAAAGUCUGGCGGAAGAAGGGGCUAUCCCGAUUGUCAUGGUACCUUCCAGCUCGCUUAAAACAGCCCUUGACUUUGCAUUGCAAUUUUGCUCUCUGCAGGUAGCAUUUGUGCAGGUGAGGACUGAAUACCCUUGGCUGCGGUGGUUUUACUCCCUGCUGUCUCCCGUUUCCCUGCCUUUCUUCCUCCCUCUGAUGUCCUCUCCUUCUGCCUGUCUCUGCCAGUCCCUUUCCUUCCACCUUUGCGCAGGCCCAGAUUCCUCUGCUCCCCUCCAUCCUGUUUGUUGUUCGUUUUGCUGUUCAGCUUCCGCCAGAAGUCUCGCUUCUGCUCCCUUGCCACUCAUCCUCUUCAUCACUUCUACAGACUCACUUUGAUCCCCGUCUUCCUGUGAAUGAUGUUUUCCCUGAGCUUCAAAUCACCAAAUCCAGUGGCUUGGGCUCAAAGCUUAGUCUUGUCCUUGACAGAACUGGACCCUUAGGCCAUCCGCACUGAACUUCCCCUCCUGGCUUCUGAGACCACCUUUGCCUUAUCCUGUGCUUGAAGGGCUGUGGUCAGAAACUCCUUUCUCUCCUCAGAAACUCAUCCAUUCCUCAUCCUCUGAAUGAGUGGCACCCAAGUGUUUACCCUCGGCCUAGUUCCAGAGAGCCCCAACCUGUGUGCUCGAUGUGUCAGCUUGGUCACCCUGUUGUCACUGAACCUGAAUUUCUCCCUUCUGCCCAUUAAACUGCCCCUCUCCACAGACCACCUUCUUUAAUCAUCUCGACUCCAGACUACAGACCUCUGCCAUUUUGAUCUCUUGUCACAAAAGUCCUAUCCAUCUUUUAGAAACUGUCUCCAGCUACAGUCUUUCUUUCUGUUGUCCUUGCUUCCCUGCCCCCCACCCCCACCCAUUUCAUUUCUCUCCUGGAAUUUUUUUCCCCCCAGGAGCUACCUUAAUUGGUCUCCUGCCCAUCUUCUCUUGUGUGUGUAGAGACUAGAGCGAUCUUUCCAAGGGACAUGUGGUGAUCUGAAGUGUCUCAGUCUUCAAGAAUCAAGCUCGUGCACCAUGGUAUUCAGGGCUCCUCAGGCUGGCAUUGCCCUGCCUGCCUUUCUUUCCCUGCAUCCUCUCCAGGCCGAAGGCCCCUCUCUGCAGGUGCCCAUUUGGGCCCCUAAGCCUUUUCAUCCUUGCUGCAUCCUCCAGCCAGCCCCUGGCUUCCUGCGGCUCUCCUGUUAGGGUGCUCCCCCCUUCUCUUCUUUCCAUGGCUCCUUCAGGGCCCAGCUCACAUUUUGCUGUGCACCUUCCUGACUACUCCCCCCCCCCCCCCGACUUUCCCCACUUUACUCUGCUUUAGUAGCGCCUGAGAACACCAGUACAAAUUUUGGAACUUUGGCAAAAAGGGCAGUUGGCUGUUGGUAUCUGAUGUCUCUGUCCUCCCCAAGAAAAGUAAGCUCCUUGCAGGAGCACCCAUGGCACCCUCUGCAUGUCUGCCUCGCACGGGACGCUCCCCGGUCACUUGAGGAGUCCAGUUUCUUCUUGCAAAGGAGAGCGUGUUCUUUGUUCAGGACAUUGGGCUUUGACUUCACUGAGGUCUCACGCAGCUUUCUGGCUACUGGUGGCUGUCCCUUAUUGAUGGAUUUUGCUAGUAAAGAGGACAGCAGAAAGGAAGUGUGGCCCCAGGCACCAAGAGAGUUGGCAGCAAGGGGACAUUUAAGAAGUGUUGUGGAGUCCACAGAGCUUCACUUUUUGAGACUCAGAGAAGUAGCAUUUCUUGUGUAAAGGAGUACAGUAGAAUUUAAGUUGCACAUUAGAAGUUGCACUGAAAAUCUCCCACCCCAAAGGAAAGUUGUUUUCUGGGUAGCUGGCUUUUGGAUAGACUCUUUGAAGCAUGUUUUCUCAGAGAUUGUGGAGAUGAGGGUAUCCUCGGGGAGGGGGGGAUCUGCCCCCCCAUGGGUGGGGGUGGGGUGGGCAUGAGAGGCACCCCAUCCCGACCUGCAUGUGCCUCCUGUCCAGCCCCAAGCUUUUGGCUGAAGAGUGGUUUUUGUUUGGAGGAGUCUGUGCUUCAGUCACGGGUGUUAACAGGGGACCUUGUUUGCCUGCUUCAGACUCCUAGUAGAAUGAUUCAGAGAGUCCACCUGGGGGAGUAGAAGGCCAGCUAUCUAGAAGGACUAAGAUACCUCAGAAAGAUGUGACAACAGCAUAUAUAUAUACGCUGGCAUUUCUUUUCCCAUGAUGGCUUUUAAUGACACGUUUGGUGACAGAACUCUAAACCUCUGAAAUCCCCCUGAUUGCGAAUUCCCAUUUUCUUCUCCCACUUCACCUCAUUUAAUUCAAAAGCCCACCCCUUGUUUUUGCCUGGUCACUUGAUAGGUAAUGCUGCACACAUGACGAACGCCAGCCCGCCCCGCACAUGCUUGGCAUCAUUAGAACAGGAUGAGAGGGGGCUGCCCCCCAAGACCCUGUAGUUCUGCUGGCCCUCAUCUGAAAGCUCUGGCUGAGAGGGUUGUGUUUGGCAUCGCCUCCGCUUAAGCAAGAAUCCUGGGAAGAGAUUUCCACAUUUAAUUUAACUGUGUACAUCCAGAACCAAGGCUGAAUCACAGGUCAUGUGUGAAUUUCCUAAAUAUCCCAACCUAGAACCUCCUCAUAAAGGCACUGGGUCUGAGCUGUAGGGUGUUUCAAACCAGUUUCCUCACACUCUUUGAGAUUCCUUUGAUGCAGACGUCUAAUGUGUUAAAUAAAUGGUGGAUUGUUGAUAUUGCUCCCCUUUUUUGUUUACCCAGUUAGAAUGCCACUGGUUUGCACUGUUUUAUAGUUCUGGCUUGUAACUUAAUUUUAUUUCUUUAAAGCUUAUUUGGUCUAAUGAGUACUUUUUAGCAUACACUGUUUUAUUGAGCUUCUGUGAAUGCCAUCACAAUGUAGUUUUGUACCUCUGCACAGAAACCAAAAUAAAUUUUAAAUAUUGAAGCUGUAAAAUCUUUAAAUUCCAUUUUUUUUUUUUUUUGUUUUUAAGAAG